UAUGGCAGAAUAGUGCAAUGGAUUUAAACCCCAUAAAUAAAAUUUAUAAAUUUUUGUUAAAA
rnacentral:tRNA from 1 species